CCUACGGGAGGCAGCAGUGAGGAAUAUUGGUCAAUGGGCGAGAGCCUGAACCAGCCAAGUCGCGUGAAGGAUGAAGGAUCUAUGGUUUGUAAACUUCUUUUAUAUGGGAAUAAAAUGUUCCACGUGUGGGAUUUUGUAUGUACCAUAUGAAUAAGGAUCGGCUAACUCCGUGCCAGCAGCCGCGGUAAUACGGAGGAUCCGAGCGUUAUCCGGAUUUAUUGGGUUUAAAGGGAGCGUAGGUGGAUUGUUAAGUCAGUUGUGAAAGUUUGCGGCUCAACCGUAAAAUUGCAGUUGAAACUGGCAGUCUUGAGUACAGUAGAGGUGGGCGGAAUUCGUGGUGUAGCGGUGAAAUGCUUAGAUAUCACGAAGAACUCCGAUUGCGAAGGCAGUUCACUGGACUGCAACUGACACUGAGGCUCGAAAGUGUGGGUAUCAAACAGGAUUAGAUACCCUUGUAGUC
rnacentral:rRNA from 1 species